AGAGUUUGAUCAUGGCUCAGAUUGAACGCUGGCGGCAGGCCUAACACAUGCAAGUCGAGCGGUAGCACAGAGAGCUUGCUCUCGGGUGACGAGCGGCGGACGGGUGAGUAAUGUCUGGGAAACUGCCUGAUGGAGGGGGAUAACUACUGGAAACGGUAGCUAAUACCGCAUAACGUCGCAAGACCAAAGUGGGGGACCUUCGGGCCUCAUGCCAUCAGAUGUGCCCAGAUGGGAUUAGCUAGUAGGUGGGGUAACGGCUCACCUAGGCGACGAUCCCUAGCUGGUCUGAGAGGAUGACCAGCCACACUGGAACUGAGACACGGUCCAGACUCCUACGGGAGGCAGCAGUGGGGAAUAUUGCACAAUGGGCGCAAGCCUGAUGCAGCCAUGCCGCGUGUGUGAAGAAGGCCUUCGGGUUGUAAAGCACUUUCAGCGGGGAGGAAGGCGGUGAGGUUAAUAACCUCAUCGAUUGACGUUACCCGCAGAAGAAGCACCGGCUAACUCCGUGCCAGCAGCCGCGGUAAUACGGAGGGUGCAAGCGUUAAUCGGAAUUACUGGGCGUAAAGCGCACGCAGGCGGUCUGUCAAGUCGGAUGUGAAAUCCCCGGGCUUAACCUGGGAACUGCAUUCGAAACUGGCAGGCUAGAGUCUUGUAGAGGGGGGUAGAAUUCCAGGUGUAGCGGUGAAAUGCGUAGAGAUCUGGAGGAAUACCGGUGGCGAAGGCGGCCCCCUGGACAAAGACUGACGCUCAGGUGCGAAAGCGUGGGGAGCAAACAGGAUUAGAUACCCUGGUAGUCCACGCCGUAAACGAUGUCGAUUUGGAGGUUGUGCCCUUGAGGCGUGGCUUCCGGAGCUAACGCGUUAAAUCGACCGCCUGGGGAGUACGGCCGCAAGGUUAAAACUCAAAUGAAUUGACGGGGGCCCGCACAAGCGGUGGAGCAUGUGGUUUAAUUCGAUGCAACGCGAAGAACCUUACCUGGUCUUGACAUCCACAGAACUUUCCAGAGAUGGAUUGGUGCCUUCGGGAACUGUGAGACAGGUGCUGCAUGGCUGUCGUCAGCUCGUGUUGUGAAAUGUUGGGUUAAGUCCCGCAACGAGCGCAACCCUUAUCCUUUGUUGCCAGCGGUUCGGCCGGGAACUCAAAGGAGACUGCCAGUGAUAAACUGGAGGAAGGUGGGGAUGACGUCAAGUCAUCAUGGCCCUUACGACCAGGGCUACACACGUGCUACAAUGGCAUAUACAAAGAGAAGCGACCUCGCGAGAGCAAGCGGACCUCAUAAAGUAUGUCGUAGUCCGGAUUGGAGUCUGCAACUCGACUCCAUGAAGUCGGAAUCGCUAGUAAUCGUAGAUCAGAAUGCUACGGUGAAUACGUUCCCGGGCCUUGUACACACCGCCCGUCACACCAUGGGAGUGGGUUGCAAAAGAAGUAGGUAGCUUAACCUUCGGGAGGGCGCUUACCACUUUGUGAUUCAUGACUGGGGUGAAGUCGUAACAAGGUAACCGUAGGGGAACCUGCGGUUG
rnacentral:rRNA from 1 species